rnacentral:lncRNA from 1 species
AAAAAUGUACUUGAAGGCAUUCCAUUGCUAGAGAAUAGGGCAGAACUAUCAUUGUAGGUUCUACCUUGCAGGAAAAAUGCAGGUUGUUGUGGAGUUGGUAACUCAAUUGAAUGACUGCUAAGAUAAGAAGCAAUUGUCAAGAUUGAAGGUCUAGCCUCUGGAUCAUUUUGAACACAUAAUAGACCAAUCUGAAUGCACUUAAUGACUUCAGUUUUAGAAAAAUCUCCUUUAAUAUUUGGGUCCAAUAUAUUUAAAGGUGUUUUAUCCAUCCACUGUCUCCACACCUGAAAAUAUAUAACAUUUGGUCUAAGCUAUGAGAUUAUUAGGCAAAACCAGCUUUAAAUCUAAAAUUGGAUCGAAAAGUAUGUAAAGUUUGAUCAAAAAUUAUUUCAACUAAGAAGUAAUGAAAAGAUACUAUUGCUAUAUAAUUACACUCACAGAAUUCAAGAGGCUAUUAGCAACAUGUUGUGGUUCAUAUGAACUUAUAUUCUUCUUUCCAGCUACNUCUACCUUGCAGGAAAAAUGCAGGUUGUUGUGGAGUUGGUAACUCAAUUGAAUGACUGCUAAGAUAAGAAGCAAUUGUCAAGAUUGAAGGUCUAGCCUCUGGAUCAUUUUGAACACAUAAUAGACCAAUCUGAAUGCACUUAAUGACUUCAGUUUUAGAAAAAUCUCCUUUAAUAUUUGGGUCCAAUAUAUUUAAAGGUGUUUUAUCCAUCCACUGUCUCCACACCUGAAAAUAUAUAACAUUUGGUCUAAGCUAUGAGAUUAUUAGGCAAAACCAGCUUUAAAUCUAAAAUUGGAUCGAAAAGUAUGUAAAGUUUGAUCAAAAAUUAUUUCAACUAAGAAGUAAUGAAAAGAUACUAUUGCUAUAUAAUUACACUCACAG